UUCCACUGAUCAAACCUGAAUAUGCAAGCUACUGUGAAUUAACUGGAAAAGUGGCCGUGUGGGCUGGUGCUUUGGUGAUUUAAUGAAUUAAGUCUGCAACCCCCACUGCCUCCUUGACUAUUGAUCAGAGCUGCCUGCAAUAAGGUCUGGCUAAGAAUGGGCAGUGGCUGCACCAGCUCUGGGUAAAAUUUGACCUAAAAUGACCAGUCUCAUUCACUAACCUCACCAUAGUCUUAUGGGUUCAAUGGACCUGUCCAAUCCUUUGCUCUGUUCUCUCCAUCACCUUCCUGUGUAAUUUUCCUCCACCACGCACAUAAUAGAAACAUGGCACAGGGGAGCUAAUCACCUCUUUUAUCCCCCACUUCAGGCUCACACAUAAGUUUAUAGUAAAAGCCUUUUCAAAUGACUGCUUUAACUGCUGCUACAGCAUGUGUCAUCAGUUGAAUGGAAUCUGUCACGUGACUUUAAGCAACCCUUUGCUGAGAGACAAGAUUCAAUACUAGGGACAGUAUCCUAGUGUACUACAUCAUUGAUUUUAUGUUAUGAAGAUCAUCAUUUAUUGAAAAUGUAUAAAUAACGAAGCCCAGCCUUACUCUUCAACGCUGUGUGUGUAAAUCCACUGAGUGUGCUGACCCCCACGCUUGUACCCACCUGCUAACACAGAAAGGGUCCACUCAGAAGGCA
rnacentral:lncRNA from 1 species